UACGGAGGGUGCAAGCGUUAAUCGGAAUUACUGGGCGUAAAGCGUGCGCAGGCGGUUUGUUAAGUCCGUUGUGAAAGCCCCGAGCUCAACUUGGGAAUUGCAGUGGAUACUGGCAGGCUGGAGUACGGUAGAGGAAGGUGGAAUUCCCGGUGUAGCAGUGAAAUGCGUAGAUAUCGGGAGGAACACCAGUGGCGAAGGCGGCCUUCUGGACCAGUACUGACGCUCAUGCGACGGAAAGCGUGGGGAGCAAACAGG
rnacentral:rRNA from 1 species